UUUCGGGGCUGGGAGAGGGCUCAGCUCACCCCCGCCGCCUCCCUCUCUACAGGCAGUGGGGAAAGACACCGGCAGGCCGGGGCAGGGUGCGGGGCGCUACGGGGUCGAGGCCACCUCCGCCCGCCCUUCUCUGCAAGCCCCCGGGGCAGGGACGGGGCGGGAAAGCCCCACGCUAGGGGAAGGGCUAAGUCACCUUCGGUCUGCCUAGAGAUGUCAGAAAAGACGGGGACAGAGAGAAGCGUACGGGACACGUCGGCCUCAGGGCAGCGGGCAGGACCUGUCCCGAAUGGGGGCCCGCAGCAUGGCUGACUCCCACAGGGGUAAGGGGUCCCGGGACGGCGGGGGUAGGAGGAAUGAUCGGCAUUUAUAACGUCGGGGAGGCUCACAGCCUUUCAAAGGGUUUCAGCUAGGCCUUGCUGCAAACCGAUUUUAAGUCUUCUCCUUCAAACCGCUGGCAGGCCAUAGGCCCAAGAAGCUGUCCUUGCAAGGCUCCCUGGCACCCACCUGGGGGGACAUGUGCCUGUCUAAACGGGCCCUGGCACUUGUUAAAGAGGGAAAGGGGAGUGAAGAGGGGAACAAAUCCAGAUGCAUAUGCUUCUGUACACGCCUGGAUGAGUCAUGAUGGAGUUGAGCGAAGCUGCAGGGAAAUAUGUCAUUUAAUCCCAGGGCUACUGAAGUCCCUUUUAUCAAACGUCGGGAUGCUGGAAUUAUACUGCUGUAAAGUACUUAAAAGUAUCCAACAUCAGGCAAAUAUAUAGAUUGGAGGAAUGGGUGUAAAAUGAAGGCAUGUACAAACUAAUCACACGACCGUGAAAACCCCAAGCGGAUUAGAUAAAUAUAAAUAGAUGUGCAUUAAAAAAAAAAAAAAGGCACGAUAAAACUGUAGCUGCUGCAUUCACACAAGGAGAACAGACAGCGUGUGCAUGUUUGUGUGCAAUGCCAAAAAGAGCAGCCUUAAGGUUGACCUACUGCAAUCUGCACUGAGCUCCUUAGACAAUAGACAAGUUCAAAUGUCAAAAAAUCUAAUAAUAAUAACCAGAGCUGCCAAACUGCACGAACUGUUUUCUGGUGUAUCACAAUUAUUCACCCUCUUAUCCACUAAGAGACUGCCAGUCCUUAUGUGCGUAAAAGAAAAUCUAUGUAAUGCAUAUGGAUCUUUUUUUUUUUACAUGUGAAAAGCCAUUGAGAUGGCAAGCACGCAAAUCGGAAUGAUAUCAUGUCUAAUAAAAGCAGGGCUAAGGUUUUCACAGUCUCUUUUAAAAGACUCCAACUUGUAAAUCCCCUUUUUAUGUCGCUACAUGCACAAUUAUUCUGAUAAAUAAAAAUCUACAUGUUCAAGGGUCUGGAUGGGAACUAUAUAUCCCCCUGAUUUUAACAUCGGUGGGAGCAUUAGGUUUCCAUCAUAUGUAAUAUGUCUACGUUGAGCUCAAGUCAAAAGAUAGAUUGUUCCAUUCAUUUAGCAACUCUCAUUACAGUCUGUGUGAGGUGAACCCUGAGCACGACACAUUGGGUAAUAUCAAAAUUAUGCAGCUGAGAAAGAAAGGACCCCUAUUUUAAAAGCUAUCUUGCUUUGCAUGUGCAGUUCUGUAUUAUUGUCCUAAUUUAUUACAGAACCCGAAAUGCUUUGUUAUGCUCAAAACAAUAAAUAAGGUUCCGAGUGAAGCCUUCAGAAUAAAAGGUACGGAUAAAUGAUCUGCCUGCCUAUUGUGUUUAUCGUUUUUAUCGUCAGACUUUAAAAGUAAUCUUUGUAUUUUCCUAUUUUCUCCAGAUUGGUUAGUGUAAUACCCCUAGUGCAGCUAUCAAGGUGGUCAUAAGAACUAUGAACUACAGCGUGGGUAAGCUUGAAAAACCCAGAGCAGCUCACGUUAGCCAAGAACGCUACAUAUCUGGAAGCCAGUCAACUUCACGUUUGCAGCUGACUGCCGUAUUAUGCACGAAUGUGUUUUACAUAUAGCAGACUGUAUACGGAAUAUGUCUUUAUGUUUAACAUUUUAAUUUGUAAAUGCUAAUUAGGCAGUUGGUCUCCACGGUUAUAUUAGUACAUACCUAAUCAUUUCCCACUAUAAGUAAAUGAAUACUAAAUACGGUAAACACUUUCAUUUCCCUACCUCCAAGACAGUAUUGCGUCUACACCCAUUUUCCAAAGGCGUCCAUUCGGACAAAUAGGCAUUUAUUAAAAGAAGGGUGUGAAAAAAAUGCUCUCUGUAGCACUCUUACAAUUGGGGUGCCGCUGCAAGCAUGAAGCCAACAAUCUUGGCCGGACCAGACUCUUCCUAAGGCAGCCAGCAAAGUUUAAGUUUUAUCGAAUUAACUUGUUGCUCGUUUUAGCCUUCGUUUUUCACUUCGCUUGCGGUAUCUCGCAGACUGCUGCUGCUGCUAACUAGUGCGGGCAUACAGCAGAACAGCCGAGCUGCUAACUCCUGUUUUGUUUAAAAUAUAACGCAGGUUACGUUUGGAGGGUUGGGGGGAGGGGGGACAGAGGAAAGCUGGAGGGAAAUCCGCUCAAUCCCGACCCCAGGAUGCUGAGCUUUGCUGUGGUCUUUCAACUCCAAAACCCUUCAGAGGUGAGAGAAAUGUUCACUAAACUACGGCAAAUCUCAAGCAAGCCACCACAUUUCUGAAGAGAACUGCGCUCUGGAAUGUGUUUUACUAGUCUGGAAUAUUGCUAGUGCUUACUGCGCCAAACGCGGCUUUUAGGCGGGCAGAUCAUCUUGCCAGGUUCUAUCAUAUUUAUGGGCUGUGUGAUUUCCAGGGUUCCAAUUGGUCUUUUCUUCACGGAGGCAAGGAAUAAAACUUUCCCAGUCACACGGAGAGUGCUGGGGCUCCAGCGCGGGGAAACAAAGUGGCUUCAAGCCCCCCACCCCGUGGCAGCAGUUCCCCCCUCCCCGUCCGGGGGCUGCCUGAGACAUUCCCCUUGCAGGUGCGUUAAAGGAUGCUGCAGCCACGCGAAUCCGCCCCUGCCCAGCGUCCUGCCGGCGGACGGGAGUGAGAAACAGACGUGUAUAAGCAGGAAUAAUACAAAAAAAAACAAAACAAAACAAAAACAAAAACAAACCAAACAAAAAACUCCCCUAAAUUUAUCACUUCCAUCCUUUCUUGCAACCACUUGGGGAGGAAAGCAGAGAAAAGGGGCACAGGGCUGAGAGUACACGUGCUCGGGAAGGGAGCCAAGCUGUGUAGAGCUAAGCUGUGGUCGCCGUGGAUGCUGUUGUUUUUAGUUGAGGAUCACGUCUGCGAGUGUCCCGGACGGCGACAACUUGUGCCCGGUGUGCGGGCAGGGCGGGAGGAGUCCGGCGCUGCCUCUGCCGCUGGCUCCCGCAGACAGAUAAGUCAGGAAGGGAUGCGGGGGGGGAGGAGUGGCCAGCUUGAGGAGGGGAGGAGGAAAAAAGGGAAAAGAAAAAAAAAAAGAAGAGAGAGAGAGAAGAAGCCACUUUUCCAGGUUUAAUGCUGCGAUUAAAUAUUAAAUUAU